AGAGUUUGAUCCUGGCUCAGGACGAACGCUGGCGGCGUGCCUAAUACAUGCAAGUCGUGCGGACCUUUUAAAAGCUUGCUUUUAAAAGGUUAGCGGCGGACGGGUGAGUAACACGUGGGCAACCUGCCUGUAAGAUCGGGAUAACGCCGGGAAACCGGGGCUAAUACCGGAUAGUUUUUUCCUCCGCAUGGAGGAAAAAGGAAAGACGGCUUCGGCUGUCACUUACAGAUGGGCCCGCGGCGCAUUAGCUAGUUGGUGGGGUAACGGCUCACCAAGGCAACGAUGCGUAGCCGACCUGAGAGGGUGAUCGGCCACAUUGGGACUGAGACACGGCCCAAACUCCUACGGGAGGCAGCAGUAGGGAAUCUUCCGCAAUGGACGAAAGUCUGACGGAGCAACGCCGCGUGAGUGAAGAAGGCCUUCGGGUCGUAAAACUCUGUUGCCGGGGAAGAACAAGUGCCGUUCGAACAGGGCGGCGCCUUGACGGUACCCGGCCAGAAAGCCACGGCUAACUACGUGCCAGCAGCCGCGGUACGGAAGUAGUUCAGUGGUAGAACAUCACCUUGCCAAGGUGGGGGUCGCGGGUUCGAAUCCCGUCUUCCGCUCCAUAAAAAGUAGUUGACAUCCAUAAAAGGUUUUGAUAUAAUAUAAAGGUGUCAAGUUAAUAACGCGGUCGUGGCGGAAUGGCAGACGCGCUAGGUUGAGGGCCUAGUGGGAGUUAAAUCCCGUGGAGGUUCAAGUCCUCUCGGCCGCAUUUACGCGCCCAUAGCUCAAUUGGAUAGAGCGUUUGACUACGGAUCAAAAGGUUAGGGGUUCGACUCCUCUUGGGCGCGCUAUUUUUUCAUGCAAAAAAGAUCUGUUAACAGCUGCGUAAAAGGCUCCAGAGCUUACCGGGCAGUUGAAAACUUUAUAAAAAACAGGCCUUUUCUUAUUAUAAGUUGGUUUGAUAGUUUUUAGACCAGGGAAAUGCGGGAAAUAGCUCAGCUUGGUAGAGCACAUGGUUUGGGACCAUGGGGUCGCAGGUUCGAAUCCUGUUUUCCCGAUUUGCA
rnacentral:rRNA from 1 species